GGAGUUGUAGCUCAGUGGUAGAGUGCUUGCCUAGCACGUAUGAGGCACUGGGUUCAAUUCUCGGCACCA
rnacentral:tRNA from 1 species